AGUGCCUACGGGGGGCAGCAGUGGGGAAUAUUGCACAAUGGGGGAAACCCUGAUGCAGCAACGCCGCGUGAGUGAAGAAGGUUUUCGGAUUGUAAAGCUCUGUUAGCAGGGAAGAGGAAGGACGGUACCUGAUUAAGAAGCCCCGGCUAACUACGUGCCAGCAGCCGCGGUAAUACGUAGGGGGCAAGCGUUAUCCGGAUUUACUGGGUGUAAAGGGAGCGUAGACGGCAUAGCAAGUCUGAAGUGAAAGCCCAAGGCUCAACCAUGGGACUGCUUUGGAAACUGUUAAGCUAGAGUGCUGGAGG
rnacentral:rRNA from 1 species